rnacentral:rRNA from 1 species
GUACGGGGGGAGCAAGCGUUGUUCGGAUUUACUGGGCGUAAAGGGCGCGUAGGCGGCCACCGCAAGUCGACUGUGAAAUCUCCGGGCUUAACCCGGAAAGGUCAGCCGAUACUGCGGGGCUAGAGUGCAGAAGGGGCAACUGGAAUUCUCGGUGUAGCGGUGAAAUGCGUAGAUAUCGAGAGGAACACCUGCGGCGAAGGCGGGUUGCUGGGCUGACACUGACGCUGAUGCGCGAAAGCUAGGGGAGCGAACGGG